rnacentral:rRNA from 1 species
AGAGUUUGAUCCUGGCUCAGGACGAACGCUGGCGGCAUGCCUAACACAUGCAAGUCGAACGGACAUUUUGCGGUUAUAGCGAUAUAACCAAGGGAUGUUAGUGGCGAACGGGUGAGUAACACGCGAGCAACCUGCCCCAUACUACGGGAUAACGCCUGGAAACGGGCGCUAAUACGGUAUAAGACCACACUAUGGAAUCAUAGAGGGGUAAAAGCGAAUUAGCGGUAUGGGAUGGGCUCACGGCCAAUUAGCUAGUUGGUGAGGUAGCGGCUCACCAAGGCGACGAUGCGUAGCUGUGCUGAGAGGCAAAACAGCCACACUGGGACUGAGACACGGCCCAGACUCCUACGGGAGGCAGCAGUAGGGAAUUUUCGGCAAUGGGGGAAACCCUGACCGAGCAAUGCCGCGUGAAUGAAGAAGGUCUUCGGACUGUAAAAUUCUGUUAUUUGUGGAAGAAAGGUAGUUGGAGGAAAUGCCAAUUACUUGACGGUACCAAAUGAGAAAGCCCCGGCUAACUAUGUGCCAGCAGCCGCGGUAAUACAUAGGGGGCGAGCGUUAUCCGGAAUUAUUGGGCGUAAAGCGUGCGUAGGUGGUCAGUUAAGUCUGGCGUGAAAUUCCCUGGCUUAACCAGGGGGGGUCGUUGGAAACUGGCUGACUUGAAUCCAGAAGGGGUAAGUGGAAUUCCAUGUGUAGCGGUAAAAUGCAUAGAGAUAUGGAGGAACACCAGUGGCGAAGGCGGCUUACUGGUCUGGGAUUGACACUGAGGCACGAAAGCGUGGGUAGCAAACAGGAUUAGAUACCCUGGUAGUCCACGCCGUAAACGAUGAGCACUAAGUGUCGGACGAAAGUUCGGUGCUGUAGUUAGCGCAUUAAGUGCUCCACCUGGGGAGUACGGUCGCAAGACUGAAACUCAAAGGAAUU